rnacentral:rRNA from 1 species
UCAGGACGAACGCUGGCGGCGUGCUUAACACAUGCAAGUCGAGCGGUAAGGCUCCUUCGGGAGUACACGAGCGGCGAACGGGUGAGUAACACGUGAGCAAUCUGCCCUUCACUCUGGGAUAACCCUCGGAAACGAGAGCUAAUACCGGAUACGACCACUUCAGGCAUCUGACGGUGGUGGAAAGUUCCGGCGGUGAAGGAUGAGCUCGCGGCCUAUCAGCUUGUUGGUGAGGUAAUGGCUCACCAAGGCUUCGACGGGUAGCCGGCCUGAGAGGGUGACCGGCCACACUGGGACUGAGACACGGCCCAGACUCCUACGGGAGGCAGCAGUGGGGAAUAUUGGACAAUGGGCGAAAGCCUGAUCCAGCAACGCCGCGUGAGGGAUGACGGCCUUCGGGUUGUAAACCUCUUUCAGCAGGGACGAAGCGCAAGUGACGGUACCUGCAGAAGAAGCACCGGCCAACUACGUGCCAGCAGCCGCGGUAAUACGUAGGGUGCGAGCGUUGUCCGGAAUUAUUGGGCGUAAAGGGCUCGUAGGCGGUUUGUCGCGUCGGGAGUGAAAACUCAGGGCUUAACCCUGAGCCUGCUUCCGAUACGGGCAGACUAGAGGUAUGCAGGGGAGAACGGAAUUCCUGGUGUAGCGGUGAAAUGCGCAGAUAUCAGGAGGAACACCGGUGGCGAAGGCGGUUCUCUGGGCAUACCUGAC